AGUAACGCGUGAGCAAUCUGCCUUUAAGAGGGGGAUAACAGUCGGAAACGACUGCUAAUACCGCAUAAAGUAUUGAGAGGACAUCCUCAUGAUACCAAAGGAGCAAUCCGCUUUUAGAUGAGCUCGCGUCUGAUUAGCUAGUUGGCGGGGUAACGGCCCACCAAGGCGACGAUCAGUAGCCGGACUGAGAGGUUGAACGGCCACAUUGGGACUGAGACACGGCCCAG
rnacentral:rRNA from 1 species